UGGUAAUUUCAACUGCCAAAGAGGAGGAUAGAUCUCGUCAAUCACCACCGUCACCGUCGUCGUCGUCGUCGUCGUCGUCGCCAUGGCAUCGAACGGAAAAUCACUAUUACAGACCCUAAAGCGCUACAUCAAGGCCCCGUGGAACUACACCGGGCCUCAAACGAGCCCGGAGUACUUGUCCGCCGUCCCAAAGGCGACGGAGUAUCGUGUUUUCUGCCCCGCCACCGAACCGGCUAAGGCCAUCGUGCCUACAUCUAAUCCCGAAACCGUCUACGACAUCAAAUACUUCUCUCGAGAUCAGCGCCGCAACCGCCCUCCUAUCAAACGCACCGUCCUGAAGAAGGCCGAUAUCCAGAAGAUGAUGGCGGAGCAAACAUUUGAUGUCAACGAUUUCCCCAAACCUUACUUGACUGCUAAGGUUCAGGAGGACGAAAACGCCAUAGGCGGAGGCUAUCAAAAAUGAGGCUUGCAAUUUGAAGGCAAAAAUUCUUGUUGCUGCUAAUAAAGUGGAGGUGUCAGCCUAUUUGUCUGCAGUUUAUGCCAUUGUAUCCUGCCUCUUGUUUCAGUUCAACUGUUCUUUCUCAUAUAAUCAAGUUCAAAACAUUUGUAAUUGGAACCCAUUGGUUAUAAUGGGAUGGUAAAUGAAGUGUUUCCCUUAGAAAUUUUUUGAACAAUAAUACCUGCAAUAGUACAAUAGUAAUAUAAUGAGUUUGCAUGCA